rnacentral:rRNA from 1 species
GGAAUUGACGGGGCCGCACAAGCGAGGAGCAUGUGGUUAAUUCGAUGAUACGCGAGGAACCUUACCUGGGCUCGAACGUAAGAUGACUGUAGGUGAAAGCUUACAUCUCUUCGGAGCAUUUUACGAGGUGCUGCAUGGUUGUCGUCAGCUCGUGCCGUGAGGUGUCGGGUUAAGUCCCAUAACGAGCGCAACCCCUACCUUUAGUUGCCAUCAGGUUAAGCUGGGGACUCUAAAGGAACUGCCUACGCAAGUAGUGAGGAAGGCGGGGAUGACGUCAAAUCAGCACGGCCCUUACGUCCAGGGCUACACACGUGCUACAAUGGCCGAUACAGAGGGCAGCUACCUGGUGACAGGAUGCAAAUCUCCAAAGUCGGUCUCAGUUCGGAUCGGAGUCUGCAACCCGACUCCGUGAAGUUGGAUUCGCUAGUAAUCGCGCAUCAGCCAUGGCGCGGUGAAUACGUUCCCGGGCCUU